AUUGAACGCUGGCGGCAGGCCUAACACAUGCAAGUCGAGCGGAGCGGCGGACUGGUGAGUAAUGCCUAGUGAUCUGCCUGGUAGUGGGUGAUAACGUCCGGAAACUGUCGCUACUACCGCAUACUAUCAUAUCAGCCUAGGUCGGAUUAGCUAGUUGGUGGGGUAAAGGCCUACCAAGGCGACGAUCCGUAACUGGUCUGAGAGGAGGAUCGGUCACAUUGGAACUGAGACACGGUCCAAACUCCUACGGGAGGCAGCAGUGGGGAAUAUUGCACAAUGGGCGAAAGCCUGAUCCAGCCAUGCCGCGUGUGUGAAGAAGGUUUUCGGAUUGUAAAGCACUUUAAGUGGGGAGGCGGUAACAACAGAAUAAGUAACGGCUAACUUCGUGCCAGCAGCCGCGGUAAUAC
rnacentral:rRNA from 1 species